rnacentral:rRNA from 2 species
UGAGUGCUUGCACUCAGCGGUCAAAGUGCGAGUGGCGAACGGGUGAGUAACACGUGGGCAAUCUGCCCAAAAGUGGGGGAUAACACUUGGAAACAGGUGCUAAUACCGCAUCAACCGGCUGACCGCAUGGUCGGCCGGGCAAAGACGGCGUCAGCUGUCGCUUUUGGAUGAGCCCGCGGCGUAUUAACUAGUUGGUAAGGUAACGGCUUACCAAGGUGAUGAUACGUAGCCGAACUGAGAGGUUGAUCGGCCACAUUGGGACUGAGACACGGCCCAAACUCCUACGGGAGGCAGCAGUAGGGAAUCUUCCACAAUGGACGCAAGUCUGAUGGAGCAACGCCGCGUGUAUGAAGAAGGUCUUCGGAUCGUAAAAUACUGUUGUCAGAGAAGAACACGUGAUAGAGUAACUGCUAUGACGCUGACGGUAUCUGACCAGCAAGUCACGGCUAACUACGUGCCAGCAGCCGCGGUAAUACGUAGGUGGCAAGCGUUGUCCGGAUUUAUUGGGCGUAAAGGGAACGCAG